AGAAAUGCACCUAGGUCUUAAAGGAACGUGACAUGCUUUAUUGUAACAAUCCCAGUUAUAUUUACAAGGGAAUGGAUAAACUGCAAUGUCAAAUUAAAAUAAAAGGUUGUUUUAAUAAAUAGUUGAUUUAAAAAAAUAGUAUGUAUUUGAUGUGAAAGAAUCUUUGAAAAUGGUGUGAAGAAAAGACUUACAGAUUCUGCGUCUGCCUCCACGAUCACCCUUGAUGGCAUUGGUUACAACAAAAUACAAAGAAAGAACGACUAUCAAAGGAUAAAUAAAUUUGACGAUUUGACUCAUUUUUUCUUCUUUUGCAUGUAAUAAGUUUAAAAAUGUUUGAUUCCUUUAUAAUUGAAAAUUCUCUGAAUUUUUAAUUAUAAUUAAGCACAUCUUAGCACUUUGGAGUUGCAAGAAGCCAAUUAUAAAAUUGUAAUUUUUGUUAAAUAUCUCUAAGAUAUAUUCUAUUGAUAUGUUUGUCUUUUAAAUUCAUUGGUUCGAUUGCUUAAACCCUAAUAAAUAUUUAAAUUAAAAUGUCAAUUUGUCCAUAAAUUAAAUAUUUUUUAAACUUGGAAAAAUUGUUCAUACAAUCAUAAAAAAUGUAGAUUAUUGAACUAAAAGUGAUCUAAAGAGCAAUAAUAUUUAAUUGAGGAAUUUUGAUGAUAACAAUAUAAUGAAAAUGAUUAUUGAUAUUUUAAUAAUAUGUGUAUAACAAUUUUUGCUCAUGCAGAAAAAAAUAGAGCUAUGCUCGUCUGCACAUAGAUAGAGAAAAUGAUCAUACCUGCCUAAACAUAAAUGGUCACAAGCCACAUUUUUAUGUUUCAGUAGAUUGAAACGGACAAGUUUGAAUUGAAAAAAAUUAAUCCAAUGAAAUCAAACACUGUCCAAUGAAUAAUAGAAUUUCCCAUUUUAACACCUUCUAACUUUUCAAUACCUGCUACUUUAAUAUUCAUAGAUAAUAGAUAGAUAAAAGGUGGCUCUGCAUAAAACUUUAUAUCUUUUAUGCUAGUUUACUAUUAUUACAUUUUCUAUUGACAAGUCCUAUGAAUAAGAGUAUUUAUUAAUUAUUAGUUAUAUGUUUAAAUGGAGAGUAUUUACUCAUGAAUUUAUUAACCAUUUCAACUGCAUAACAAAUAUCAGGCAUGAUAUUACACAAAUAUCUCAGAAAAUCAACCAACUAUUUGAAAGUUGUCGCAUCUACAUUAUCAUCCUUAGGAUCAGAAUCCAAUUUGUGAUUUGUUUCUGAAGGUGUGACCGCAUCCUUACUACUCAGCAGCUCAAAUCUCUCAGAAGCUCAAAUUCAUACUUCAGCUGAUGCAUAAUUAUACCUUUCUCAUAGUACACGAUCUCCAUCCCUAGGAAAUACAUAUUUCCUAGAUUAGUCAUCUCAAAAUCUUUCAUCAGCACCUUCUUGAAUUUCAUUAUCUCAUUUGAAUAACUUUCUGUCAGUAAUAUGUCAUCAACAUAUAGACACACUAGAAUCAUAUUGCCUUCAGAAGUAUGUUGAACAUAAAUAUCAUACACCAUCUCACACUUUAUGAAUCCCCGAAGCUUGAGGAAUGAAUCAAUUUUCAGAUUCCAAGCUCUAGGAGCUUGUUUCAGUCCAUACAACGCUUUAUGUAACAUGUACACCAUCCCUUCCUGAUUCUUUUUCAUAAAUCCAGGAGGUUGUGACACGUAUACCUCUUCUUGCAAUGGACCAUUCAGAAAUGCAAAUUUCACAUAUAAAUGUAUCAGAGGCCAAUUGUUGGUAACAGCUAUUGCAAUCACCAGUCUGAUUGUCUCAUGUCUUGCUACAUGAGCAAACACCUCAAAGUAGUCUAAUAUAGGUUUCUUUAGAAAACCUCUUACCACUGACAUUGCUUUGUGUUUUCCAAUUGAUCUAUCUGGCUUCAGUUUCAUCUUGAAAACCCAUCUUAUGUCGAUGGCUUUCUUGUCCUUUGGAAGUUCAGUCAACUCCCAAGUCUUGUUUAUUUCUAUAGCCUUAAGUUCUUCUUUCAUGUCCUUCAACCACACUUUCUUCUUAAGCGCUUCUUCAACACUAACUAGUUCAGAGUCUACAAACAUGACACACUGAAUGACUUCUCCCUAGGAGUCUAUUUUAGUAUAUUGUAGCAUGUCAAACUCUACAAAUCUACUUAGAAUGUUUUUUAUUCUUUCUGGCCUCUGAACUUGUUCAGAAUCUUCUUCGGACGCUGAAACAUUAUCAGAUGUUGAAACCCCAAAAUUACCACCGUUAGAGGCGUGACCACCUUCAGAGUCUAGAAUAUUCCUAUAGUAUGGAUCUCCACCAGAGCAUGAAUCACCAUCAGAAUAUGGAUCAGAACUAGAUUCAUCUUUAGAGUCAACCUCGCCUUCAGAGUCACUAUCAGACUUUGACUCAUCUUCAGAGGCAGAAUCCCCUUCAGAAGCAGAUUAUCCUUUAGAGUCACCUUCUGAUUCUGACUAAUCUUCAGAGCCUUUGAAUUCUGAAGUAUCUUCAUAAAUUAACUCACCAGAGUUGGAUUGAGACAUGUUCCAAUCCCACGCUUCUGAUACUUUCACAAUGACAUCUCUGCUGAAUUCAACCUUGUCAGUGAUAGGACAUUAGAACUUAUAAGCAUAUGUACUAUGGUACCUUAUAAGAAACAUAACUCUACUUUUGUCAUCCAAUUUCCUUCUCUUAGCAUCUGGAACAUGUUUAUAACAAACCGAACCAUACAUCUUCAGAUGACUCACACUUUGCUUAUCUCCAGUCCACUUCUCUAAAGGAACAAUUUCCUUCAGCUUUUUGGUUGUGCACCUAUUGAGCACAUAUGCUGCAGUGGCAACAAUUUCUCCCCACAAGGUGUGAGACAAUUUUUUCUCCUUCGGCAUGCUCAUUGUCUUAUCAAGCAAAGUUUGGUUUCUUCUUUCAGCAAGACCAUUAUGUUGAGGAAUGUGUGGAGCAGUCACCUCAUGCUCAAUUUCAUUCUCCUCAUAAAAUUUUCUGAACUCUGUAGAUUUAUACUCACCUCCACCAUCAGUUCUGAGAACUUUCAACUUAUGACCACUCUGAUUCUCAACCUUGAUUUUGAAUUUCUUAAAUUCAGCAAACACCUCAUAUUUGAACUUUAUAAGGGAUACCCAUGUCAUCCUUGUGAAUUCAUCAACAAAUUAUACAAAGUAUUUAUUCCAUCCAAGUGAAGGCAUUUCAUAUGCGAAUGGCAGUAUUUGUUUCUUCCCUCUCAUACUCAUUGCAUGAAUUCUCUGGAUUCUUAAUUUUAGGAAUUCCAUGUACCAACUUCUUUGAAUUUAGAUGCCCUAAUCUUCUGAAGUUCAGAUGACCAAACCUUUUGUAUCACAACUCACUUUCCUUCACAAUACUUGUUGCACUAAGGAAUUUAGAGUAUGGGUUUUAACAUUCACUUUGAAUGUUCUGUUCCUUCCCUGUUCUGACUUCCUAAUCAACUUCUGAUUGCAGCCAUACAACUUCAAAAGAUUGUCCUUAAUGGCAAAUCUAAAAAACAUUUCUCAAUUAAUUGACCUACACUCAUCAACUUGCUUUUCAUGUCAGGAACAUACCAUACGUUCUAAAUCAAUUCAAUUAUACCAUUAUUCAAAACUACUAUGACAUUUCCCAUUCCUUCAGCAUUCAGAUACUUAUCAUUAGCACAUAUGAUCUUGGUCCUCUUACUAGAGAAAACUCAGCCAACUAUUUCUUAUUUCCAAUAAGGUAAUUUGAACAACCAAUGUCCAUGUACCACCAAUCUUCCAAAGAUGCACUAUCAGGAUUUGAAGCCAUCAAUAACACAUGUUCAUCAUCAGAAUCUCCUCUGGCUAUGUUUGUUUCUUCUAACUUUCUUUCCUUGUUUGAUCAACAAUCAUCAACGAAGUGACCAAACUUCUUACAACAGUAGCACUUAACUUUCCUUUUGUCAUACUUCUCCUUCCUCUUUUGAGUACUAUUCUCCCUUUCAGAAGUUAAGGUUUCUGACUUCUGAACACCAUCAAAUUUCUUCCUGGCUUUUGACCAGACUGCUUAUGAUAUUUUGUACUAGAAGAUGCUUUCAGAGCCUGCUGCUCUACCUCCAUUUCAGGUUUCUCUCAGUCAGACACACCUCUUGUGUCUCUAGUCUGAUUUACAACUAUUCAAUUCUCAUGGUGCUAAGAUCUUUAGAUUAUUCAAUUGUUACAACAACGUAACCAAACUGAGGAGUAAGAGAUCUAAGUACCUUCUCAAUGAUCUUUUCUUCAAAGAGAGUUUCUUUACACGACUUCAUCUCAUUUGUAAUCAGAAUCACUAUAGAGAUGUAGUCAGGUACCUUCUCAUAAUUCUUCAUAUUGAGAUUUUCCUACUAUUUACAUAGAGACAGAAACUUCACCUUCCUCAGUGAUGCAUAACCAUUGCAACACCGUACUAGUGUGUCCCACGCAGCCUUCGUCAUCGUCAAAUUAACGAUUUUUUCAAACAUAUUUACAUCCACACACUGAUGGAUGUAUAAAAACGCCUUCUGAUCUUACUUCCUCAUAUCACGAUGAGCAUUCCUCUACGCAUCCAUUGCAUUUGCCGAAAUUGCAACUGGAACGUAAUCGUCGUUGACGAGAUCAAGAACAUCUUGAGCGUCAAACAACACACACGUCUGAAUUAUCCACCGAUUCCAGUUAUUUCCAUCAAACAUUGGAAGCUUAGUAUUCAUAUUAUCAUUUCCGUUCAUCUUCAACCUUGUGUAAUUUACUCAGAUCUCACCAAACACUAGUGUUUCCCAAUCCCCCAUAGUCAAGAAAUAUAGUUCUGUCACGAUUCUUAUUAAAAAAAUCAACAUGAAUUCAAUAAAAAAAAUCAAUCACACAACGCCUUACCGUUCACUCAUGUUUCCCUGUGGAUCUGAACCGGAGCUAUAAAUACCAAUUAUUGGUGCAUAAGAUGAAGAAGAUAAACAUGGAAGAAGAGAACAGUGCAGCAACAACAUAUCGUUUCUUCAGAAGCUUCUCAUGAGUGAAUCAGCACAGAAGCAGAAAGAUCAUUGCAGCAACAAUAUUGAAUAUCUCUCAGAACUUCUAAUAACUGACGCAUAAGUGGAUUUGGAACUGAUUGGUCAGAAACUGAUGAUGUUGCAUGUCAUAUACUCAGAAUCAGAACUGACUAUUAAAGCUACACAAUAACAAAUCAUUAGGGUACCAAAAUUAUUCUCACACAAAUACAACAUUGUUAUCAUCAAAACUCAAGGUAUAGAUGCAUGACCAAAUCUUGUUCUAACACCGUCAUCAACGAGAACAAGAACAUCUUGUGCGCCAAACAACACAUGCAUCUGAAUCAUCCACUGAUUCUAGCUCUUGCCAUCGAACACUAGAAGCUUAGUACUCAGAUUACCUUUCCGUUCAUCUUCAACCUUGUGCAAUUCACUCAGAUCUCACCAAACACUAGUGUUUCCCAAUUUCGUAGAGUCAAGAAAUUUGAUUUUUUUACGAUUCCGAUUAAAAAUUCAACACGAAUUCAAGAAACAAAAUCAAUCGCACAACGCCUAACCGACUACUCGUGUUUUCCUGUGGAUCUGAACCUGAGUUCUAGAUACCAAUUGUUGAUGCACAAGGUGAAGAAGAUAAAGAUGGAAGAAGAGAGAAGAGAGAAAAUAAAAAUCUUCCACUACUCUUACGCAAACGGUUACAUCAAUUGAUUAUGCACUACCACGGUACCACGACACAUAAUACACACAUUCAGUAUUACGCCGCUGUAUAUCUAUUGACAACUACAGUUAUUUAUAUAUACAAAACAAUAAUGUCACGGAGGCAAAAUGUUAAGAUACACUAAAUAGAUUAAACUUAACAAAAACUAAAAUUAUUGAAUAUAAAUUUGUUUCUAAGUCAUCCAAACUAUUUGGCCUUACCAACAUCUUUCCUGCAUUAAUUCAUUUUUUAUAUAAUUAAAGAUUACCAUAUAUGAAUGUGAUUAUCCAUGACAUACUUCAAUAAUAAAAGCAUGUUUGUUGUACCUAUUGUAACAUGUUUCUUUUGUUCGAGACAAUAUAUAUGAAAAAGAACAAUAUAUACAUAAUCUAAUUUAAAUCAUCUAUGUGGGACAAAAGAAAACACAAAAUGACUAAUUUGAUAUAGUAAAACUUAAAAAGCUGCAGAAUGUAUUUUUCCUAAAAUAACAUAAAACAUCGAACAAUAAUAAGUAAGCAUUACUUUAAUAUAAACUAACAUAGACAUGAGUGAUAGAAAAUAUAGCUUGUAAGCUUUGACUACUCUUGUUCUGUUCAAAACCAAGAAAGAGAAAACCAAUAAUCAAAAGUUUGUCUCAUGUAUUCUGUUCAAAAUCAAGAAAGAGAAAACAUCAUCAACUACACUCAUUUUCUUUACAGAGUAUAGUAAAACCAGAAAAACAACAACUCUUAACAACCACCAAAAUACUUUUAGUAGAUGGAGUUAAUCUUCGAUUAACUAUGGCACACAAUUACCUCUACUUUCAUACUAAGAUACUUUAUUUUUAAUUUGGAAAAUAUUCAUGAACCCUACAUUUUAUUCCUUAAUGAUAUAGUAUUCCUUGGAUGAUCUAACUUUUAGGGUAGAUCUUACACCCAUUAAAGUACUUUUAGAGUGUGUUUGAUUUGGGAGUAAAUGGAAGGGAGGGGUGAAUAUAUUUUUAAUUAAAUAUGUUUAGUUUAAGUUUUAUGAGAUGGGGAAGGGAGGAGAAGGGUGCAAAACCCCUCAAUUAUUUUAUGUAUUUGUUUUUUUAUUUGAUUCAUCACAAUUAAAAAAUUAUUAUCAACAUAUAUUUUAAUCCGUAUCAAAGAGUUAUAAUCUAAAUUAAGUAUACUCAAUUUUUUAAUGAUAUAUAAUAAAUAAUAAUUUUUUUAAUCACUCAAUAUUAGAAGUUUUGUUUAACUAUAUCUACAUAUUUUAUUAUCAAAAAAUAUUUACAAAAUUUUCAUCUUUGAAUAUCAUAUGAAUUAUAUAAAAUAAUAAAGAAUAAAAAUAUAAAUUAUUCAUAAAAUUUCUCCCCUCCUUUUGUUAACAAACCAUAUUUUUAUUUAAAAUCAGCAUUUCCUCUCUUCUCCUCUCUUUAUAUAAGAUAUAUACAUAUAGAUAUAUAUAAUAAUAUAUAUAAAAUUCUUCGUCUCCCCUCACCUUUUUUUUUCUAUUAAAAUUUCUUUCUUUCUCAUAGUAUUGAUGAGUGUUGGCGAUAUUAAUAUUAUUGAAGAUAUAUUUAAAAAUUGGAGUUAUGACUACGAUUCGUGCUAUUAUAAUGUAGUUUUCGAAUCAAAUCCAUAAUUUUGUAACAUGUUUAUAAAUUUAAUUGAAUGUUUACAAGUCUUUUACAUUCCUUCCACCGCAAGGUGUAGAUUUUAAUCUAGUUUUGUAUUAAGUACGAAAAAUCUUUUAAAUUUUUUAAUCCAGUCAACGAUCCUUUUAAUUAUUAAUAUUUUGAAAGGUAUAAGUAAUUACUCAACAUAAACACAAUCAAGAUAUUUUUUUAAAGAAAUUAUUUAAAAUAUAGUCACGACGAUGCAGUUUUCGUUAUAUACUAUGAACAAAUAAACAUGUAAGAAUUCUCUUAUUAUAUUAUAAUAAUAAAAUUUUGAGCUUGACAAAUAAAUUUAAAGAUAAAAAUAUAAAUCAAAUUGUGAGAGAAAUUAUAGAGUUACCAGCAUUAUAAUGUACAAAUAAAAUAAUACGAUUUGAAGUAGCAUUAUUUUUCAACUUUAUUCUACUUCCAUGCACUCACAAUUAGAAGAAAUGCACAUAGGUAUGAAAGGAAUGUGACAUGCUUUAUUGUAACAAUCCCGGUGAAUUUUACAAGGGAAUGGAUAAUCUGCAAUGUCAAAUUAAAAUAAAAGGUUGUUCUAAUAAAUAGUUGAUUUAAAAAAAUAGUAUGUAUUUGAUGUGAAAGAAUCUUUGAAAAUGGUGUGAAGAAAAGACUUACAGACUUUGUAUCUACCCCUGACGGCAUUGGUUACAACAAAACACAAAGAAAGAAAGACUAUCAAAGGAUAAAUAAAUUUGAGGAUUUGACUCAUUUUUUCUUCUUUUGCAUGUAAUAAGUUUAAAAAUGUU
rnacentral:lncRNA from 1 species